rnacentral:rRNA from 1 species
UGCGUAGGCGGGACAAUAAGUCAGUGGUGAAAGUCCACCGCUCAACGGUGGGAUUGCCAUUGAUACUGUUGUUCUUGAGUAGAGUCGAGGUAGGCGGAAUUUAUGGUGUAGCGGUGAAAUGCAUAGAUACCAUAAGGAACACCGAUAGCGAAGGCAGCUUACUAGACUACUAACUGACGCUGAGGCACGAAAGCGUGGGUAGCGAACAGGAUUAGAUACCCUGGUAGUCC